AUUGAACGCUGGCGGCAGGCCUAACACAUGCAAGUCGAGCGCGCGGCGGACGGGUGAGUAAUGUAUGGGGAUCUGCCAGAUGGAGGGGGAUAACUACUGGAAACGGUGGCUAAUACGGCAAACUAUACGCUGAAACCAUAUGGGAUUAGCUAGUAGGUGGGGUAAAGGCUCACCAAGGCGACGAUCUCUGGCUGGUCUGAGAGGAUGAACGGCCACACUGGCACUGAGACACGGCCCAGACUCCUACGGGAGGCAGCAGUGGGGAAUAUUGCACAAUGGGCGCAAGCCUGAUGCAGCCAUGCCGCGUGUAUGAAGAAGGCCUUAGGGUUGUAAAGUACUUUCAGCGGGGAGGCGUUACCCGCAGAAGAAGCACCGGCUAACUCCGUGCCAGCAGCCGCGGUAAUAC
rnacentral:rRNA from 1 species